UACGUAGGGUGCAAGCGUUAAUCGGAAUUACUGGGCGUAAAGCGUGCGCAGGCGGUUUUGUAAGUCUGUCGUGAAAUCCCCGGGCUCAACCUGGGAAUGGCGGUGGAUACUGGAUAGCUAGAGUGUGUCAGAGGAUGGUGGAAUUCCCGGUGUAGCGGUGAAAUGCGUAGAGAUCGGGAGGAACAUCAGUGGCGAAGGCGGCCAUCUGGGACAACACUGACGCUGAAGCACGAAAGCGUGGGGAGCAAACAGG
rnacentral:rRNA from 1 species